rnacentral:rRNA from 1 species
UACGGGGGGGGCAAGCGUUGUUCGGAAUUACUGGGCGUAAAGGGCUCGUAGGCGGCCAACUAAGUCAGACGUGAAAUCCCUCGGCUUAACCGGGGAACUGCGUCUGAUACUGGAUGGCUUGAGUUUGGGAGAGGGAUGCGGAAUUCCAGGUGUAGCGGUGAAAUGCGUAGAUAUCUGGAGGAACACCGGUGGCGAAGGCGGCAUCCUGGACCAACACUGACGCUGAGUGAGCGAAAGCCAGGGGAGCAAACAGG